AAUAUAUCGUAUAACACGGGAGCACGGGUUUGCUCGCGAUGUGCUCUCUCGACGGGUGGCCGCGACAUCGAUUUUCUACGGCGUCGAGCACAACAACGUCAUUACCGUUUGAACGCGUGAAUCCGGCGAUCGCCCGAGAAAAACCGAUUUCCAGAACAAUCAUUUUCGGCCCGUCCGAAGUGGUUUUUGCGCGUAACGAAUAAUCUGUGGGACCGUUUUCGAUCGAAUUCCGACACGAGCUCGCGGAGG